rnacentral:rRNA from 1 species
AGAGUUUGAUCAUGGCUCAGGAUGAACGCUAGCUACAGGCUUAACACAUGCAAGUCGAGGGGAAACGACAUCGAAAGCUUGCUUUUGAUGGGCGUCGACCGGCGCACGGGUGAGUAACGCGUAUCCAACCUGCCCAUCACUUGGGGAUAACCUUGCGAAAGUAAGACUAAUACCCAAUGAUAUCUCUAGAAGACAUCUGAAAGAGAUUAAAGAUUUAUCGGUGAUAGAUGGGGAUGCGUCUGAUUAGCUUGUUGGCGGGGUAACGGCCACCAAGGCUACGAUCAGUAGGGGUUCUGAGAGGAACGGUCCCCCANAUUGGAACUGAGACACGGUCCAAACUCCGUACGGGAGGCA